AUUGAACGCUGGCGGCAUGCUUUACACAUGCAAGUCGAACGGCAGCACGGGUGCUUGCACCUGGUGGCGAGUGGCGAACGGGUGAGUAAUGCAUCGGAACGUAUCCAAUAAUGGGGGAUAACGCACCGAAAGGUGUGCUAAUACCGCAUACGCCCUGAGGGGGAAAGUGGGGGACCGUAAGGCCUCACGUUAAUGGAGCGGCCGAUGCCUGAUUAGCUAGUUGGUGAGGUAAAGGCUCACCAAGGCGACGAUCAGUAGCUGGUCUGAGAGGACGACCAGCCACCCUGGGACUGAGACACGGCCCAGACUCCUACGGGAGGCAGCAGUGGGGAAUUUUGGACAAUGGGCGCAAGCCUGAUCCAGCCAUGCCGCGUGAGUGAAGAAGGCCUUCGGGUUGUAAAGCUCUUUCGCAAGGAAAGAAAACUUAUCCCCUAAUACGGGAUGAGGAUGACGGUACCUUGAUAAGAAGCACCGGCUAACUACGUGCCAGCCGCCGCAGUAAGAC
rnacentral:rRNA from 1 species